GACGAACGUUGGCGGCGUGCUUAACACAUGCAAGUCGAACGGAAAGGCCCUGCUUUUGUGGGGUGCUCGAGUGGCGAACGGGUGAGUAACACGUGAGUAACCUGCCCUUGACUUUGGGAUAACUUCAGGAAACUGGGGCUAAUACCGGAUAGGAGCUCCUGCUGCAUGGUGGGGGUUGGAAAGUUUCGGCGGUUGGGGAUGGACUCGCGGCUUAUCAGCUUGUUGGUGGGGUAGUGGCUUACCAAGGCUUUGACGGGUAGCCGGCCUGAGAGGGUGACCGGCCACAUUGGGACUGAGAUACGGCCCAGACUCCUACGGGAGGCAGCAGUGGGGAAUAUUGCACAAUGGGCGGAAGCCUGAUGCAGCAACGCCGCGUGCGGGAUGACGGCCUUCGGGUUGUAAACCGCUUUCGCCUGUGACGAAGCGUGAGUGACGGUAAUGGGUAAAGAAGCACCGGCUAACUACGUGCCAGCAGCCGCGGUGAUACGUAGGGUGCGAGCGUUGUCCGGAUUUAUUGGGCGUAAAGGGCUCGUAGGUGGUUGAUCGCGUCGGAAGUGUAAUCUUGGGGCUUAACCCUGAGCGUGCUUUCGAUACGGGUUGACUUGAGGAAGGUAGGGGAGAAUGGAAUUCCUGGUGGAGCGGUGGAAUGCGCAGAUAUCAGGAGGAACACCAGUGGCGAAGGCGGUUCUCUGGGCCUUUCCUGACGCUGAGGAGCGAAAGCGUGGGGAGCGAACAGGCUUAGAUACCCUGGUAGUCCACGCUGUAAACGGUGGGUACUAGGUGUGGGGUCCAUUCCACGGGUUCCGUGCCGUAGCUAACGCUUUAAGUACCCCGCCUGGGGAGUACGGCCGCAAGGCUAAAACUCAAAGGCAUUGACGGGGCCCCGCACAAGCGGCGGAGCAUGCGGAUUAAUUCGAUGCAACGCGUAGAACCUUACCUGGGUUUGACAUGGAUCGGGAGCGCUCAGAGAUGGGUGUGCCUCUUUUGGGGUCGGUUCACAGGUGGUGCAUGGCUGUCGUCAGCUCGUGUCGUGAGAUGUUGGGUUAAGUCCCGCAACGAGCGCAACCCUUGUUCACUGUUGCCAGCACGUUAUGGUGGGGACUCAGUGGAGACCGCCGGGGUCAACUCGGAGGAAGGUGGGGAUGACGUCAAGUCAUCAUGCCCCUUAUGUCCAGGGCUUCACGCAUGCUACAAUGGCUGGUACAGAGAGUGGCGAGCCUGUGAGGGUGAGCGAAUCUCGGAAAGCCGGUCUCAGUUCGGAUUGGGGUCUGCAACUCGACCUCAUGAAGUCGGAGUCGCUAGUAAUCGCAGAUCAGCAACGCUGCGGUGAAUACGUUCCCGGGGCU
rnacentral:rRNA from 1 species